AUUGAACGCUGGCGGCAUGCUUUACACAUGCAAGUCGAACGGUAACAGGCCUUCGGGUGCUGACGAGUGGCGAACGGGUGAGUAAUGCAUCGGAACAUACCCAGUCGUGGGGGAUAACGUAGCGAAAGUUACGCUAAUACCGCAUACGUCCUGAGGGAGAAAGCGGGGGAUCGCAAGACCUCGCGCGAUUGGAGUGGCCGAUGUCAGAUUAGCUAGUUGGUGGGGUAAAGGCCCACCAAGGCGACGAUCUGUAGCGGGUCUGAGAGGAUGAUCCGCCACACUGGGACUGAGACACGGCCCAGACUCCUACGGGAGGCAGCAGUGGGGAAUUUUGGACAAUGGGGGAAACCCUGAUCCAGCCAUGCCGCGUGCGGGAAGAAGGCCUCGGUUGU
rnacentral:rRNA from 1 species